AUGAAAAUCAUCGGUAGGAACUGCCGGGGGCUCGGGAACGGCCCGGUAGUUCGCAGCCUCCUCGACCCGGGGAGGACGAAGGAGCCCGACAUUGUGUUCUUGGCGGAGACGAAAAUGACGGUGAAAGAGCUCGAGAAAUUCAGGUGGAUGACUGGCCUUGUUCAUAUGACAGCAUGGAAUUCGGAAGGAAGAAGUAGGGGGGUGUUGUUCUGGCGACGCGGUAUAGACGUGGCGCUCAGAUCGUACGGUAGGAGACAUAUAGAUGUUGAUGUGACGGAGGAGGAUGGAAGGAUAUGGAGGUUGAUAGGUGUAUAUGGUGAGUCAGUUACGAAGCGGAAGGAAGACACAUGGCGUACACUAAGACUGUUGGGGCAACAACAUCAGGAUGGUUGGCGAUGGCUAUGCCUAGGAGACUUUAAUGAAAUCCUCUUGGAUGAUGAAAAGGUUGGAGGAGUGUUGCGGCCACAAAUCAUGAUGGAUAAUUUCCGGGAAGCUUUGGUAGCUUGUGAACUCAGCGACAUUGGCUAUUCAGGGGAUAAAUAUACUUGGAGGAAUCACAGCAAGGACAUCAACAAUUACAUAUGUGAAUGGCUGGAACGAGCCACGGCUAACUCAGCUUGGUGCAAGAUGUUCCCAGAUUAUUCUGUGCUCAAUGGGCCGCCCAGACACUCGGAUCAUCGGCCGGUUAUAGUGUGCACCCAAGGAGAAGGCAGAACGCUGGCACGUGGGGAUAGGUGGUUCAGGUUCGAGGCGUGGUGGCUCAAGGAAGAAGGUUGUAGCGCUGAAAUACAAGGAGCGUGGGAGGAGGGUAUGCUGGGAGAGACAGCAAAUGUGGCCCAAGCGCUGCGGAGUGUUGCAGGAAGAAUGACGAAAUGGCACAAAGAAGUUGCGGGGGAGCUAGAAGGCCGACUUAAAAAAGCAAAACGAGACUUGGAGAAGUGUAUGUGUGCCCCGGUGUCAGAAACCAAGAUUAGGGAGGAGGCUAGACUUCGGUCUGGUGUGGAAGAGUUAGAAGAGAAGAAGAAGAUAAAAGCUAAGCAGCGAUCACAUGUUACAUGGCUGCGGGAUGGAUGGUAAUAGAAGCACGAAGUACUUGCCGUGGCAAAUGCUAGACGGAAGACUAAUAGAGUGAAGGAGUUAAGAAGGGAGGACGGAUCAGUAGUGAAGGAGGGAGAGGGACUUUCUAACUAUAUUUGCUCGUUUUUUCAGGAACUACUCCCCUCAUCAGUAGGCACCAGGAUGAAUGAGCUUAUUCAGAAAGUCAAGCCAUGGAUCACAGAGGGCAUGAGGCUUAUACUGGAAGCUAAAUUUACUAGAGAAGAGGUCAAGGCGGCAUUGGACCAUAUUGGUGAUCUUAAGGCACCUGGACCUGAUGGAAUGCCAUCUCUAGUGUAAAAGCGUCAUUGGCACUUUAUGGGGGACAAGGUUAUCGAAGAAGUACUUGCAGUUCUUAAUGGGGCUGAGAUGCCGGAAGGGUGG
rnacentral:rRNA from 1 species